rnacentral:rRNA from 1 species
CCUACGGGAGGCUGCAGUGAGGAAUAUUGGUCAAUGGGCGCGAGCCUGAACCAGCCAAGUAGCGUGAAGGAUGACUGCCCUACGGGUUGUAAACUUCUUUUAUAAAGGAAUAAAGUGAGGCACGUGUGCCUUUUUGUAUGUACUUUAUGAAUAAGGAUCGGCUAACUCCGUGCCAGCAGCCGCGGUAAUACGGAGGAGCCGAGCGUUAUCCGGAUUUAUUGGGUUUAAAGGGUGCGUAGAUGGGUUGUUAAGUCAGUUGUGAAAGUUUGCGGCUGAACCGUAAAAUUGCAGUUGAUACUGGCAGUCUUGAGUACAGGUGAGGUAGGCGGAAUUCGUGGUGUAGCGGUGAAAUGCUUAGAUAUCACGCAGAACUCCGAUUGCGAAGGCAGCUUACUAGACUGCCACUGACAUUGAGGCUCGAAAGUGUGGGUAGCAAACAGGAUUAGAUACCCGAGUAGUC